GAGUUCAUAGCUCAGUGGUAGAGCACUUUCCUAGCAUUUAUGAGGCACUGAGUUUGAUUCUCAGUGCUCC
rfam:Ictidomys tridecemlineatus contig017774, whole genome shotgun sequence.